CAUGUACUUCCUCCGUCGCAUAUUAAGUGUCGCUCAAACGGUUGUAUCUAGCUGUAUUUUAGUGCUAGAUACAUUCAUUUGAGCGACACUUAAUAUGGGAUGGAGGGAGUAUUUG
rnacentral:pre_miRNA from 1 species